AGGGUUGUAUUUAAUUAUAAUAUUUAAUUUGCAAUUAAAAGGUAUCUUUACGGUUAACCUUA
rnacentral:tRNA from 1 species